rnacentral:rRNA from 1 species
GUCUACAGCCAUGCCAUCCUGAAUGUGCCUGAUCUCAUCUGAUCUCAGAAGCUAAGCAGAGUUGGGCCUAGUUAGUACUUGGAUGGGAAACCACCUAGGAAGACUAGGUGCUGUAGGCU